UUGCUUUGGCAGCACAUAUACUAAAACUGGAAUGAUAAAGAGAAGAUUAGCAUGGCCUCUGCGCAAGGAUAACCUGCAGAUUCGCGAAGCAUUCCAUAAAACA
ensembl:snRNA U6 U6 spliceosomal RNA